rnacentral:lncRNA from 1 species
ACCACCACCACCACCACCCGCCGCCGCCGCCACCGCCGCCGCGGCGGCGGCGGCGGUGGUGUUACUUCUGCUACUACUACCGCGAGUGGCGCUUUUAUCGAUAGCGUCCAAUGUGGACUUGUACUUGAACGCAAUCCUGGUGAGGGCGCAGAGGUUGAGGAAACCGGCGAUAAACGAGAGCGCGAACGGAAUCCAACGGUACACGCAUUUGAAAUUCGACGGCGUAUUGUAAAAGGCGGUGAAGAUUACGCCUUGAAAUACGAAGUAGUAGUUUGCCAGCUGUGAAGCCUCCUUCUCCAGGUGGCGGAUUUGGUCCCGCCUCUCCUUGUUGGUUUCUCCAUUCCCCGCCGCCGGAAUAAGAUUCCGGCCGGCCU